UGGGGAAUAUUGCGCAAUGGGGGAAACCCUGACGCAGCGACGCCGCGUGAAGGAAGAAGGCUUUCGGGUUGUAAACUUCUUUGAUCGGGGACGAAGAUGACGGUACCCGAGGAACAAGCCACGGCUAACUACGUGCCAGCAGCCGCGGUAAUACGUAGGUGGCGAGCGUUGUCCGGAAUUACUGGGUGUAAAGGGCGUGUAGGCGGGGCGGCAAGUCAGAUGUGAAAUACCUCGGCUUAACUGGGGUGCUGCAUCUGAAACUGUCGUUCUUGAGUGUCGGAGAGGAAAGUGGAAUUCCCAGUGUAGCGGUGAAAUGCGUAGAGAUUGGGAGGAACACCAGUGGCGAAGGCGGGUAACUGGACUGCAACUGACGCUGAGGCGCGAAAGUGUGGGGAGCAAACAGG
rnacentral:rRNA from 2 species